CCUACGGGAGGCAGCAGUGUGGAAUAUUGGUCAAUGGACGAAAGUCUGAACCAGCCAUGCCGCGUGCAGGAAGACGGUCCUAUGGAUUGUAAACUGCUUUUAUUCGGGAAGAACAAGCGGGUUUCGACCUGCUCUGACGGUACCGAUUGAAUAAGCACCGGCUAACUCCGUGCCAGCAGCCGCGGUAAU
rnacentral:rRNA from 1 species